AACCUGCGGCAGGAUCAUUA
rnacentral:rRNA from 2 species